rnacentral:lncRNA from 1 species
AGUGCUGGAAUUACAGGCGUGAGCCACCGCGCCCGGCCGCGACUGUGUUUUUCAAACAGCUGCAUUUACCAGCCACUACUGGAUUCCUUCUACGUGUGAAGCCCUGUGCUAAAGGCUGGGAACAGAAAGAUAAUUGAUACACGAGCCUUUCUUUCCUUUAUGGAAGGCCCAGCCCCAUACGGAAGACGGACGCGUACAUAAACUAUUAGGAUACAGGAAAAGCGCGAUACUACUGGCACAUAGAGGAAAUCGGGGAAGAUGCUUAGAACAAUGUCUGGGGCACACGCUCAGUGCUUUACAAAAUACUCGUUAUUUUUACCAUCUAACCUUGUGAGUUAGAGCGACUGAAGAGGAAAGGCCGUAGCGUCUGAGCUGCUCUGUGAAGAAUGAACCGGUUUUCACCAGGCAGGCCAGGAGUGGGAUAGGGCGAGGCAUCCAAGAAACAGCAAGAGGCAGGCAGAGCUCAGCACACGUUUUUCCAGACUGUGAACCAUGAAGCUCUGAAGGCUGCUAGGAGGGCCACGGGAGCUGUGGGAGAGGGUGAGGCUGGAGCCCUGUGGGCUAACAGACAGGGCUCUAAUUCGUGACAUCGUGGCAACAAACUAUUAGAAAUGAGGCUAGACCUGGAAGCCCUGGGGGCACAGUCUGGAGGGGAGACAGACGAGAGCUAAGUAGAAUGCAGGCAAUGACGCCGUAACAGAGAUCUGCACAGCGACCAUUGCACAGCGUGGGGGCAGGCUUCUGAGAGGAGGUAACAUGCUGAAAAGACAACGUGUACAGCUGACAUUAGUACACAACCUCAUCGGAGAGAGAAGAAGCGGAGGGAAUCCCAGGAGCAGGGGCCAUCAUGCUCAAAGGUUCCAAGGUACGGAAUCCAACCACAGUGCCCACUGUGGUGAAGCCACUGCGCUGGUCCGAGAAGAAAGUGACAAACAAAAUGACAUGGAGCCCAAUUCAUCCUGAGAGCAGAACCUCGGAGCCAUGUGGUUAAGAUGGAAAUUCCACUUUUAGUCCAAGCAAAUCUUCUGAUGUAUCAAGUUUGAGGGUGAGGUUUCAUUAAAGGAAUUUAAAAUAAAAAAGUGAGAUCACAGCAAAUUUUUUAAAAUGAUUGUUUCAGUGAAGGGAAAAAAGGUCUUUAUCCUUAUUCAGGGCGUAAUUCCUGAUCCUGGUCCCC